UGCAGUCUCAGCUCCGUCUCAGCUCCUACGUUUUCCUUCACAGCCUCCAGUCUCUGCCUCCAGCAUCCUGUGGAACUCUCAAGCCAUCGUCUGGCUGCUGCCAGUCGGUUUGCCUGGAGAUGACAGGUCCAGAAAUCAGAAGCUGUGAAGCCAUCGCUGCCUGUGAAGAUCAUGAUAAGGCGUAAAAUCACGUGGAGAGAAAUUACACUCAUUGUACCAAUCUAUUGAAGCAAAGACCAUUUGGAGUAUUUAGGAUGGGGAGAUGCUGGAACAUCCCUUCAGUAUUGUGCCUGUUCUGUGUGGUCAGGUCGUCCUCUUCAACCAAGCGCACAGCUUCGGGAGGGACUCACUUGGAGCGCAGAAGGAGGAAGGAGACACCCGCCUAGCCAGCCAGAUCAGCCGAAUCAACCCUGGCGAUCAGUGGGGUGACGGAUGUCGCAGCCAGAUCGAAAAAAGAAAACAGCGAUGGGGAGAUAUGAGAGGUGCUGGAAAGGAGGG